GCCUAGCCGUAAACAAUUAAUUUACACCAAUAAGCGCCAGGGAAUUACGAGCAAUGCUUAAAACCCAAAGGAUUUGACGGUGUCCCACCCCACUAGAGGAGCCUGUUCUAUAAUCGAUGAUCCCCGAUAUACCCGACCAUUUCUCGCUUAUCAGUCUGUAUACCUCCGUCGAAAGCUUACCAUGUGAACGCCUGCAGUAGGCUUAAUGACCUAACACGUCAGUACGUCAGGUCAAGGUGCAGCUUAAGAAAUGGGAAGUAAUGGGCUACAAUUUCUAACUUAGAACAAACGAAAGACUGUAUGAAAUUACAAUCAUGAAGGUGGAUUUAGUAGUAAAAAGAAAGUAGAGUGUUCUUUUUAACCCGGCUCUGGGACGC
rnacentral:rRNA from 1 species